UCAUUUAGGGAGUAAAUAUCCUAAUAUUGGAAAAAUAUAGAGAAAAAAAUCAGUGUGGCCCUGCACAAAGAUGACAUGCCAGGUUAUGAAGCACUGCAAUGUUUU
ensembl:snRNA LOC120095375 U6 spliceosomal RNA